rnacentral:rRNA from 1 species
GAUGAACGCUGGCGGCGUGCCUAAUACAUGCCAGUCGAGCGAACAGACGAGGAGCUUGCUCCUCUGACGUUAGCGGCGGACGGGUGAGUAACACGUGGAUAACCUACCUAUAAGACUGGGAUAACUUCGGGAAACCGGAGCUAAUACCGGAUAAUAUAUUGAACCGCAUGGUUCAAUAGUGAAAGACGGUUUUGCUGUCACUUAUAGAUGGAUCCGCGCCGCAUUAGCUAGUUGGUAAGGUAACGGCUUACCAAGGCAACGAUGCGUAGCCGACCUGAGAGGGUGAUCGGCCAGACUGGAACUGAGACACGGUCCAGACUCCUACGGGAGGCAGCAGUAGGGAAUCUUCCGCAAUGGGCGAAAGCCUGACGGAGCAACGCCGCGUGAGUGAUGAAGGUCUUCGGAUCGUAAAACUCUGUUAUUAGGGAAGAACAAAUGUGUAAGUAACUAUGCACGUCUUGACGGUACCUAAUCAGAAAGCCACGGCUAACUACGUG